AAUGGAAGGGCACCGUGGAUCAAUAAGGCCCAGAGGCGAGACAAAGAGGGCAAAAAUCUUCUUUAUUGAGCUCUCGGGCGAGGUUCACUGGUCCGCAGGGGGAAGGCCAGGGAAGUCACGCUGUGCCAAACGUGUAGCGCAUUUAUAUAGAUGAGUGACGUGCCUUAGUGACGUGCUUUAGUGGGCAUGCGUGUUCACUGAGGCAGCGGGAACAAGAAAGGUGAACCCGGAAAUGCUGAGUCAGGGUAUCCGAGGUGGCUGUCCGGAUGGCGGGAAUAAAUGGUCUAAGGCCCGCCUGUUCUGUGCCGUGACCUGUGCUACCGAAGUCAUCUGUUGCUGUAGGGAGGCCAGGGACUCAGCCGAUGCCUCAAUGGCCAACUGCAGAAGAUGGCCCUAUCUACAGAGACUCUGGCCGAGUCACUGGAGCUCCAUCAUCCCACAAAUCACUUUAGUUACUGUCAUUGAGGACCCUCUUUCAGCAUAACCAGGAGCUGACUCACCUACCUCUGCCCCGCAUCUGAGAAAUUGUCUGUGAAGGACCGGAUACCCCAGACUGCAACCUGUAUGCGACAUAGUUCUUACUAUUCAGAGCCAAGGAGUUAUAUGAGAAUUCUUGUCCCCUGGGAAGGGCUUCCCUAAAGUGUGGGCUGUGUCACUGGACCUGGAGAGAAAACAGAAAAUUUCCCUACUCCUGAGGAUAGGGCUCUAGGUUAUCUUGUCAGAGAUACCUUCUGCUUGCUGAUGAUCUGUGCAUCCUCUAGUGGGUACAUUCCCUGCACAGGUCCCAGGGGUCUAUUCAGUUAGAGGCAUAAUGACCUCACACUUACACCUUAAAUCUGACUGUGGUAUCAGGUGAUUAGUUACUCUUGACAGAGAGGCAAGAAAAGAGCCCUGUAAGAAGGAACCCAGCAUCGCCUUAAAGUCAUCUCUGAAAUAUAUGUACAUUAAUAAAUGGCAGAGAUAGAAUUCUAA